rfam:Schistosoma mansoni strain Puerto Rico chromosome W, complete genome
AUCCAACUGAUGAGUCCGGAAUAGGACGAAACGUGCGUCAAACUGUAU